UCGGGAAUCUUGGGCAAUGGGCGAAAGCCUGACCCAGCAACGCCGCGUGAGGGAUGAAGGCCUUCGGGUCGUAAACCUCUGUCGGGAGGGACGAAAGGUCGCCGGAAUAACAAGCCGGAGGCUUGACGGUACCUCUAAAGGAAGCGCCGGCUAACUCCGUGCCAGCAGCCGCGGUAAUACGGAGGGCGCAAGCGUUGUUCGGAAUUACUGGGCGUAAAGCGCGUGUAGGCGGCCAGGUAAGUCGGGUGUGAAAGCCCGGGGCCCAACCCCGGAACUGCACCCGAUACUGCCCGGCUAGAGUCCCGGAGAGGAUGGCGGAAUUUCCGGUGUAGAGGUGAAAUUCGUAGAUAUCGGAAGGAACACCAGUGGCGAAGGCGGCCAUCUGGACGGUGACUGACGCUGAGACGCGAAAGCGUGGGGAGCAAACAGG
rnacentral:rRNA from 1 species